rnacentral:rRNA from 1 species
UACGAAGGGGGCUAGCGUUGCUCGGAAUCACUGGGCGUAAAGGGUGCGUAGGCGGGUCUUUAAGUCAGGGGUGAAAUCCUGGAGCUCAACUCCAGAACUGCCUUUGAUACUGAGGGUCUUGAGUCCGGGAGAGGUGAGUGGAACUGCGAGUGUAGAGGUGAAAUUCGUAGAUAUUGGGAAGAACACCAGUGGCGAAGGCGGCUCACUGGCCCGUAACUGACGCUGAGGUGCGAAAGCGUGGGGAGCAAACAGG